ACGCGUGAAACCUUACCAGGACUUGACAUGGAAGUGACCGGACGAGAGAUCGUUCUUCUCCCGCAAGGGAGCACUUCACACAGGUGCUGCAUGGCUGUCGUCAGCUCGUGUCGUGAGAUGUUGGGUUAAGUCCCCGCAACGAGCGCAACCCUCGUUUCUAGUUGCCAUCAUUCAGUUGGGCACUCUAGAGAGACUGCCGCGAAUAACGCGGAGGAAGGUGGGGACGACGUCAAGUCAUCAUGGCCCUUAC
rnacentral:rRNA from 1 species